CAGCAGCCGCGGGAAUACGAAGGGGGCUAGCGUUGCUCGGAAUCACUGGGCGUAAAGGGUGCGUAGGCGGGUUUCUAAGUCAGGGGUGAAAUCCUGGAGCUCAACUCCAGAACUGCCCUUGAUACUGGAAGUCUUGAGUAUGGGAGAGGUGAGUGGAACUGCGAGUGUAGAGGUGAAAUUCGUAGAUAUUCGCAAGAACACCAGUGGCGAAGGCGGCUCACUGGCUCAUAACUGACGCUGAGGCACGAAAGCGUGGGGAGCAAACAGGAUUAGAUACCCGCGUAGUCCCUGUCUCUUAUAC
rnacentral:rRNA from 1 species